CAGUAGCCGCGGGAAUACGGAGGAUCCAAGCGUUAUCCGGAAUCAUUGGGUUUAAAGGGUCCGUAGGCGGUCUUGUAAGUCAGUGGUGAAAGCCCAUCGCUCAACGGUGGAACGGCCAUUGAUACUGCAGGACUUGAAUUAUUGGGAAGUAACUAGAAUAUGUAGUGUAGCGGUGAAAUGCUUAGAGAUUACAUGGAAUACCAAUUGCGAAGGCAGGUUACUACCAAUUGAUUGACGCUGAUGGACGAAAGCGUGGGUAGCGAACAGGAUUAGAUACCCUGUAGUCCCUGUCUCUUAUACA
rnacentral:rRNA from 1 species